UACCCUUACUUAAUAUCUCAUACUACUCUUUCGAUACAUAAUCUAAUGUUUAAAAAAACAAUUCUUAUAUCUAUAUCGAAUUCGAACUGCCAUGCUAUUAUUACUUAAUAUUUAUAUUUCAAUAUUUCAUAUGGCGAAGGCAUAGUUUUCUUUUUUCUUUCAAAUAAAAACCCAUUGGCGCCAAGCAUGAGGGAAUGCUAAACGUUUGGUAAUUUUUCCUCCAACUAGGAUAAAAGAUGCCAUUGAAGCAGCUAAUCCCAUGCAUACUGUUUGUACAUCUGGUCGCACAAAUUGCAUAGUAUCAUAAAUAGCUAUUCCGGGUAUUACCCAUCCCCCAGGAGAGUUUAUAAACAAAUACAAAUCUUUAGUCUCGCUCUCUAUACUGAGAUAUACCAUAAGACCAAUAAGUUGAUUCGAGAUCUCGCUAUCAACAUCUUGACCUAAAAAAAGUAAUCUUUCUCGAUAAAGUCGGUUGAUUGAGAUAAAUUUCUAUCUUCUAGGAACCGUACAUGCACCUUUUGAUGCAUACGGUUCAACAAAAAUCGAUGAAAAUAAAAUAAAGAAUCAAUGUGUAGAUUCCAACCUUCCUUUUUUGAUAGUGAGUACUUUUUAACUUAACUCUUUUUUUUUUCUAAUGUCUAAUGCUAAUGAAAGGGCUUUUCUUCUAGUUUUCAAGAAAGAUGAGUUUUAACCCGUUUACCUAUAAAAUAAAAAAAGGUUUCCCUAUAAAGAUAAAAAAAAUUAUUAAACUUAUCAAACAAACUUCUCAUUGAUGUAUUUUUUCAUCGAGAUUCAAUUCAAAUCACGACGGCAUUAUCUUGUUCCUGAAUGGGUUUCUUCAAUUCUUUUAGGUUUGUGCUCUACUCCGAGUAAAGAUUUUCCCGAUUUUUAUUUGCACAUAUAGAGCAAAUGCCCCAAUACCGCGUCUUUUUGUUACAACUUCUUUUUUUUUAUUUAAUUCAUUUCACGUCUUCUGCCAAUUAUUUGACAUAUUCAUUAUUAUAUUAUUCGAUUGAGUAUGAUUAGCAGUUUGAAAUUAUUUCAACUUCAUAAUUAUUUCAACUUCAUAAAUAGAAUAUGAUACAAGCAGUAAUUGUAAUAGAUAUAUUACCAAUUGGGUUCUUCUAAACGGAGCCUGGAUACUUCAUUUUUUUGGUCCAAACAAGCCAACCAUAAAUUAUUCUAAUUGAUAUAUAUAAUAUUAAUCUGAGUACCUCAAAAGCAUAGAUCUAAUUGGACUUCAUUGCAUUUCACGCUCCAAAUUUUGGAUGAUUUAAUCAAUCUUUCUUGGGUGAAACCGAGGAUAUCUCAAUCGGGGGAGAGAACGGGGGAAUCCCCUAUGACCCAAUAUAUCUGACAAGUCACACUAUACGUCAAUCCAAAUGGAAUCGUCUUCCGCAGGAUUUCGAAAAGGGACUUUUGGAACACCAAUAGGCAUUAAAUGAUAGAAAAAUUU
rnacentral:lncRNA from 1 species